CCUACGGGAGGCAGCAGUGGGGAAUUUUGGACAAUGGGCGCAAGCCUGAUCCAGCCAUGCCGCGUGUGGGAAGAAGGCCUUCGGGUUGUAAACCACUUUUGUCAGGGAAGAAACGGUCUGAACUAAUACUUUGGACUAAUGACGGUACCUGAAGAAUAAGCACCGGCUAACUACGUGCCAGCAGCCGCGGUAAUACGUAGGGUGCAAGCGUUAAUCGGAAUUACUGGGCGUAAAGCGUGCGCAGGCGGCUUUGCAAGACAGAUGUGAAAUCCCCGGGCUCAACCUGGGAACUGCAUUUGUGACUGCAUGGCUAGAGUACGGUAGAGGGGGAUGGAAUUCCGCGUGUAGCAGUGAAAUGCGUAGAUAUGCGGAGGAACACCGAUGGCGAAGGCAAUCCCCUGGACCUGUACUGACGCUCAUGCACGAAAGCGUGGGGAGCAAACAGGAUUAGAUACCCUGGUAGUCCACGCCCUAAACGAUGUCAACUGGUUGUUGGGAGGGUUUCUUCUCAGUAACGAAGCUAACGCGUGAAGUUGACCGCCUGGGGAGUACGGCCGCAAGGUUGAAACUUAAAGGAAAUUGACGG
rnacentral:rRNA from 1 species